rnacentral:tRNA from 1 species
GCACUGGUGGUUCAGUGGUAGAAUUCUUGCCUUCCAUGUGUGAGACCUGGGUUCGAUUCCCGGUCAAUACA